GCAGACAGGAGGAACAGAGCCUGGGGUGAGGAUGCUGUGUGCUGUGCCCUGGCAUCCCGUGGAUGGUGCGUGCGCGCUGAGUGUGCGUGGACGUGUGAAUGUGAGCGGGUGGGGGGUGUGCAAGGCAAGUGCACUCCCCCUCUGUGCCCCCCACCCCACCGGGCCGACCCAAUACGCAAAGCUCCCCUCCUGCAAAGCCUCCCCUCA